rnacentral:tRNA from 1 species
GCCUCGGUAGCUCAGCUGGUUAGAGCGUCGCCUUGGUAAGGCGAAGGUCGCGGGUUCAAAUCCCGCCCGAGGCU